rnacentral:rRNA from 1 species
UACGGGGGGGGCCAGCGUUGUUCGGAAUUACUGGGCGUAAAGGGCUCGUAGGUGGCCAACUAAGUCAGACGUGAAAUCCCUCGGCUUAACCGGGGAACUGCGUCUGAUACUGGAUGGCUUGAGUUUGGGAGAGGGACGCGGAAUUCCAGGUGUAGCGGUGAAAUGCGUAGAUAUCUGGAGGAACACCGGUGGCGAAGGCGGCGUCCUGGACCAACACUGACACUGAGGAGCGAAAGCCAGGGGAGCAAACGGG